CGCAUGGUGGGGUGGGAAUGCUUUUUGCGGCAUGGGAUGGGGUCGCGUCCUAUCAGCUUGUUGGCGGGGUGAUGGCCCACCAAGGCGUUGACGGGUAGCCGGCCUGAGAGGGUGACCGGCCACAUUGGGACUGAGAUACGGCCCAGACUCCUACGGGAGGCAGCAGUGGGGAAUAUUGCACAAUGGGCGCAAGCCUGAUGCAGCGACGCCGCGUGCGGGAUGGAGGCCUUCGGGUUGUAAACCGCUUUUGUUCAAGGGCAAGGCACGGCUUCGGGCCGUGUUGAGUGGAUUGUUCGAAUAAGCACCGGCUAACUACGUGCCAGCAGCCGCGGUAAUACGUAGGGUGCGAGCGUUAUCCGGAUUUAUUGGGCGUAAAGGGCUCGUAGGCGGUUCGUCGCGUCCGGUGUGAAAGUCCAUCGCCUAACGGUGGAUCUGCGCCGGGUACGGGCGGGCUGGAGUGCGGUAGGGGAGACUGGAAUUCCCGGUGUAACGGUGGA
rnacentral:rRNA from 1 species